UUAUGAGUGGAGUCUGUCCAAGUUUGAUAUACAUACCUUCAAAGCAAUAAAAAAUAACAACUUUAGUCACACUAUAUACAUUGUUGUAAUCUUUUUAAUGCUGGAUUACGAUCACUUGCAGUACUCUCAAAGAAGACCCUUCUUUUGUACCAUUUUUUUUUUACUAUAUAGGAAUGAAACAUUGUACCAUGCGUGGUGUUAAUUAUUGACUGUUCACUCGACAAUUAUAAGAACGAGACAAUACAAGCACUCUUGUAAGUUUCAAUUUUGGAAACAAUUGCAUCAAACUCCACUUUUAGUUUA
rnacentral:lncRNA from 1 species